rnacentral:rRNA from 1 species
GAUGAACGCUGGCGGCGUGCCUAAUACAUGCAAGUCGAGCGAACAGAUGAGGAGCUUGCUCCUCUGACGUUAGCGGCGGACGGGUGAGUAACACGUGGAUAACCUACCUAUAAGACUGGGAUAACUUCGGGAAACCGGAGCUAAUACCGGAUAAUAUAUUGAACCGCAUGGUUCAAUAGUGAAAGACGGUUUUGCUGUCACUUAUAGAUGGAUCCGCGCCGCAUUAGCUAGUUGGUAAGGUAACGGCUUACCAAGGCAACGAUGCGUAGCCGACCUGAGAGCGUGGUCGGCAACACAAGAACAGAGACCCUGGCCAGACUCCUACGGAAGGCAGCAGUAGGGAAUCUUCCGCAAUGGGCGAAAGCCUGACGGAGCAGCGCCGCGUGAGUGAUGAAGGUCUUCGGAUCGUAAAACUCUGUUAUUAGGGAAGAACAAAUGUGUAAGUAACUAUGCACGUCUUGACGGUACCUAAUCAGAAAGCCACGGCUAACUACUUG